rnacentral:rRNA from 1 species
AAACUAACUAGGAUGCCUUCAGUAACGGCGAGCGAAGCAGGCAUAGCUCAAAUUUGUAAUCUGGCGCCUCUGGCGUCCGAGUUGUAUUUUCUAGAAGCGAGUUCGGCGACAGCCCCGGUCCAAGUCCGUUGGAACACGGCGUCAUGGAGGGUGAGAAUCCCGUGUCUGGCUGGGUGUCUGCUGCUAUGUGAACCGCCUUCGAAGAGUCGAGUUGUUUGGGAAUGCAGCUCUAAAUGGGAGGUAAAUUUCUUCUAAAGCUAAAUAUUGGCCAGAGACCGAUAGCGAACAAGUAGAGUGAUCGAAAGAUGAAAAGAACUUUGAAAAGAGAGUUAAACAGUACGUGAAAUUGUUGAAAGGGAAGCGCUUGAGAUCAGACUUCCUGCCGGUUCUGUCCCAUGCUACUUAGCAAGGAGUCCAGUCCGGUGUGGAGGCCAGCAUCAGUUUUGACGGCCGGAUAAAGGUUCGGGGAAGGUAGCUCUCCUCGGAGAGUGUUAUAGCCCCGGGCGUAAUACGGCCAGUUGGGACUGAGGACCGCGGCUCUGCCUAGGAUGCUGGCGUAAUGGUCUUAAGCGAC